rfam:Oryza brachyantha chromosome 10, whole genome shotgun sequence.
AAUAACCUUAUUUUUUAUUUUUCCGUGUCUAUCGUUUGACUAUUUGUCUUAUUUGAAAUUUUUUACGAUUAUUUUUUUUAUUAUUAUUAGAUAAUAAAAUAUGAGUAGUAUUUUAUAUGUGACUAUUUUUUUAAGUUUUUUACAAAUUUUUCAAAUAAGACGAAUGGUCAAACGUUGGACACGAAAAAAC